GACCUACAACCUUGUCUGAGCCCAUCUCCCAUUUUGGUGGUGACGUAGACAGGAUGGGGGCCUUACUGAGCAGCUCUGACAGCCAUUUGGGUUUCCCACAGAUUGAGAUAUUUCAGUCGGGUCAGACCCAGGAGCGAAUUGUAAGCCACAGCUUCUAUCCUGUUUUUCUCCAAAUAGACAUGGGUCAAAUUCUCCAUCCCUCGUAUAGCUCCUGGAAUCCUUCGGAAGUUGUUCUGAAAGCAAAAGAGUUCCUGAAGGGCCGGAAGCUCUAUAAAAAUCCUGUCUGGAAUGUUGAAAAGGUUGCAGUCCGCCAAAUCCAGUCUGACUAGUCUCUUGAGCGAAAUGAAAGUCCUAGUGUGCAGGGUCAUUUUUCAAAAAAAAAUCACUUAGAGUGGAGAGGAGAUCAAAGAAUACCAACA